UGUGGUUAACAGAAUACCUAGCAUAACAGACACGUAACCAUCAGACACAAACUAAUGUGGAGAUGAUAGAUGAACACCAGAUUCUACUUACACAGAGGCGGGCUAUAUGGCAUCCCAAGUUAAUACCAACGCCUAUAUGGGCAGUUAAAUACCCACAAGGACACCCUCCCCCAUUGUGGCUCCAUAGGGCCGACAAAGACCUCGUUGUGGUCUGAUACACAGUAUCUGACCAAUUUUUUGUACAUAGUUCCCCAGUGGGGAGUUAUCCCUUCACACCCCCGACCUCCCUCUCAUACCC